GAAAAUUCAGAUGAAGUUCCAUUCAUUUUCCUUUUUCUCUUUUGUAGAUGUGAAAACUCAUUUUGCCGUUCCCAGUUUCACAGUGUUGGCUUUCUCCCCAUACGCACGGUGCUGCCAUCACACUUUGCUCACAGCUUGCAGAAUGGAAUCGCAACUUGAAUAUUUGCAAAACCAUGAAGAUGACUGGCAUUUGGAGAAUUAUAGAGUGAGCACAGUGCAAAAGAGAAUGUAAUAUUUUUUUCUUACAAGAAAUACUUCGUGCCUGAUACAGACAAUGCCAGAAGACAGGAUGAUCCUGCAAACAACAAAAGAUAUGUGCUUGCUACAGUGUGAUUUUGAGGCACCUACCUUAAGCGCUGUGAGAUAUUCUCUGUGAGAUACACACUCACCUCUGCCUUUGUACUUGGGCACAGUUUCAGGACUUGCACUUGGGUCUGUAGAAAUAUUAGAUAUUAAAUAUUCUACUGGCUAAUGCAUGGGAGUUGGAGAGGCAAAUGUGCCUAAUAGUUUUAGUCCUUUCCUUUUUCACUACUAUUCUGUGAUAAGAGCUGAGAAUUAAAUCAAUGUUUACUAGAAAUGUUACUUAAGAGAACAUAUGCAAAACAAGAUAUGUAGUGUAGGUGUUUGUGAUAUGAUAUCACACAGUUUCUAGUAACAGAGCUACACAGAAAAUUAAUGACUGCUGAUUAAUUUUUCCUUUUCUAACAUCAUUCUCCAAACACCAGUUUUGGCUUCCCAGGCAAAUAAUAACAGCUGUUAGUCUGUCUGGGAGCCCAGUUGGCUUGGAUGGGAUUGUUACAUGCCAAAGCAGAAAGUAUGUUUUGUUCCCAGUGAUCUUGGGUCUUUGCUUUGCUCUUUGCCAGUUGCUAAGAGGAAAAAAGCUGAAAAUGUUGAAUGACUUUGGAUCUAAUGCAAUGCUAUGUUUCUUUCUUCUAGAAUUUGUAAGCUAUGUAGUUUAAAAACAAAAACACCUUGUAGAUACUUUAGAUAACUAAAGCAAAUGGGGGAAACUAUGCAUGAAGAUUUUUAAAAUACAUUUGGAAAGGCAUUGAGAAAAAUCUAGUGUAUUGCUUGAUCGUGUUUUUCUAACAAGAAGAGAGACAAUUUCUCCUCUCUACCCUAAGAUCUCUAAUAGAUUAUUCUCUUAAAAUAUAGGAGUGGAUUUUCAUGGGAAAAAGAAGCAUUUCAGUGGAAUUUCUCUGAAAAAAUUACAUAGAUGUUGCAAUGUAUUG
rnacentral:lncRNA from 1 species